GACGAACGCUGGCGGCGUGCUUAACACAUGCAAGUCGAACGGAAAGGCCCUGCUUUUGUGGGGUGCUCGAGUGGCGAACGGGUGAGUAACACGUGAGUAACCUGCCCUUGACUUUGGGAUAACUUCAGGAAACUGGGGCUAAUACAGGAUAGGAGCUCCUGCUGCGUGGUGGGGGUUGGAAAGUUUCGGCGGUUGGGGAUGGACUCGCGGCUUAUCAGCUUGUUGGUGGGGUAGUGGCUUACCAAGGCUUUGACGGGUAGCCGGCAUGAGAGGGUGACCGGCCACAUGGGGACUGAGAUACGGCCCAGAAUCCUACGGGAGGCAGCAGUGGGGAAUAUUGCACAAUGGGCGGAAGCCUGAUGCAGCAACGCCGCGUGCGGGAUGACGGCCUUCGGGUUGUAAACCGCUUUCGCCUGUGACGAAGCGUGAGUGACGGUAAUGGGUAAAGAAGCACUGGCUAACUACGUG
rnacentral:rRNA from 1 species